GACGAACGCUGGCGGCGUGCUUAACACAUGCAAGUCGAACGGAAAGGCCCUGCUUUUGUGGGGUGCUCGAGUGUCGAACGGGUGAGUAACACGUGAGUAACCUGCCCUUGACUUUGGUAUAACUUCAGGAACCUGGGGCUAAUACCGGAUAGGAGCUCCUGCUUCAUGGUUGGGGUUGGAAAGUUUCGGCGGUUGGGGAUGGACUCGCGGCUUAUCAGCUUGUUGGUGGGGUAGUGGCUUACCAAGGCUUUGACGGGUAGCCGGCCUGAAAGGGUGACCGGCCACAUGGGGACUGAGAUACGGACCAGAAUCCUACGGGAGGAAGAAGUGGGGAAUAUUGAACAAUGGGCGGAAGCCUGAUGCAGCAACGACGCGUGCGGGAUGACGGACUUCGGGUUGUAAACCGAUUUCGCCUGUGACGAAGCGUGAGUGACGGUAAUGGGUAAAGAAGCACCGGCUAACUACGUG
rnacentral:rRNA from 1 species